AGAGUUUGAUCCUGGCUCAGGAUGAACGCUGGCGGCGUGCUUAACACAUGCAAGUCGAACGGACGUAAGGGGCUUGCUCCUUACGUUAGUGGCGGACGGGUGAGUAACGCGUGAGCAAUCUGCCCAUAUCAGGGGAAUAACAGUUAGAAAUGACUGCUAAUACCGCAUAAGACCACAGAGAGGCAUCUCUCAGGGGUAAAAGAUUUUAUCGGAUAUGGAUGAGCUCGCGCCCCAUUAGGCAGUUGGCGGGGUAACGGCCCACCAAACCGAUGAUGGGUAGCCGGCCUUAGAGGGUGAUCGGCCACAUUGGAACUGAGACACGGUCCAAACUCCUACGGGAGGCAGCAGUGGGGAAUAUUGGGCAAUGGAGGCAACUCUGACCCAGCAACGCCGCGUGAGCGAUGAAGGUCUUCGGAUUGUAAAGCUCUUUAAGUGGGGACGAAGAAAGUGACUGUACCCACAGAAUAAGCCUCGGCUAACUACGUGCCAGCAGCCGCGGUAAUACGUAGGAGGCAAGCGUUAUCCGGAAUGACUGGGCGUAAAGGGUGCGUAGGUGGUUCGGCAAGUUGGUAGCGUAAUUCCAGGGCUUAACUUUGGCGCUACUACCAAAACUGCCGGGCUUGAGUGCAGGAGGGGUGAACGGAAUUCCUAGUGUAGCGGUGGAAUGCGUAGAUAUUAGGAAGAACACCAGCGGCGAAGCGGUUCACUGGAAUGUAACUGACACUGAGGCACGAAAGCGUGGGGAGCAAACAGGAUUAGAUACCCUGGUAGUCCACGCCGUAACGAUGAAUACUAGGUGU
rnacentral:rRNA from 1 species